rnacentral:rRNA from 1 species
GGGGGGGGGGGGGGGGGGGCGGGGGGCGGGCGGGUCGGGCGGGGGGGGCCUGCGUUUGUGGGGUGCUCGAGGGGCGAACGGGUGAGUAACACGUGAGUAACCUGCCCUUGACUUUGGGAUAACUUCAGGAAACUGGGGCUAAUACCGGAUAGGAGCUCCUGCUGCAUGGUGGGGGUUGGAAAGUUUCGGCGGUUGGGGAUGGACUCGCGGCUUAUCAGCUUGUUGGUGGGGUAGUGGCUUACCAAGGCUUUGACGGGUAGCCGGCCUGAGAGGGUGACCGGCCACAUUGGGACUGAGAUACGGCCCAGACUCCUACGGGAGGCAGCAGUGGGGAAUAUUGCACAAUGGGCGGAAGCCUGAUGCAGCAACGCCGCGUGCGGGAUGACGGCCUUCGGGUUGUAAACCGCUUUCGCCUGUGACGAAGCGUGAGUGACGGUAAUGGGUAAAGAAGCACCGGCUAACUACGUG